GUGCACCAGGCGAGAAUUUUUCUCAAUGGGGGCAACCCUGAAGGAGCGACGCCGCGUGGAGGAUGAAGGCUUUCGGGUUGUAAACUCCUGUCAUUUGAGAACAAGUGGGCCGAAAUUAACUACUUCGGCCUUGAUAGUAUCAGAAGAGGAAGGGACGGCUAACUCUGUGCCAGCAGCCGCGGUAAUACAGAGGUCCCGAGCGUUGUUCGGAUUCGAUUGGGCGUAAAGGGUGCGUAGGUGGCGCCGUAAGUGGGUGUGAAAUCCCGGGGCUUAACCCCGGGACGUGCAUUCCAUACUGCGGUGCUUGAGGACUGGAGAGGAGACUGGAAUUUACGGUGUAGCAGUGAAAUGCGUAGAGAUCGUAAGGAAGACCAGUGGCGAAGGCGGGUCUCUGGACAGUUCCUGACACUGAGGCACGAAGGCCAGGGGAGCAAACGGG
rnacentral:rRNA from 1 species